UGGGGAAUAUUGCACAAUGGGCGCAAGCCUGAUGCAGCCAUGCCGCGUGUAUGAAGAAGGCCUUCGGGUUGUAAAGUACUUUCAGCGGGGAGGAAGGCGAUAAGGUUAAUAACCUUGUCGAUUGACGUUACCCGCAGAAGAAGCACCGGCUAACUCCGUGCCAGCAGCCGCGGUAAUACGGAGGGUGCACGCGUUAAUCGGAAUUACUGGGCGUAAAGCGCACGCAGGCGGUCUGUCAAGUCGGAUGUGAAAUCCCCGGGCUCAACCUGGGAACUGCAUUCGAAACUGGCAGGCUAGAGUCUUGUAGAGGGGGGUAGAAUUCCAGGUGUAGCGGUGAAAUGCGUAGAGAUCUGGAGGAAUACCGGUGGCGAAGGCGGCCCCCUGGACAAAGACUGACGCUCAGGUGCGAAAGCGUGGGGAGCAAACA
rnacentral:rRNA from 1 species